UACGUAGGGUGCAAGCGUUGUCCGGAUUUAUUGGGCGUAAAGAGCGUGUAGGCGGUUUGGUAGGUCCGCUGUGAAAACUCGAGGCUCAACCUCGAGACGCCGGUGGAAACCAUCAGACUAGAGUCCGGAAGAGGAGAGUGGAAUUCCUGGUGUAGCGGUGAAAUGACGCAGAUAUCAGGAAGAACACCCGUGGCUAAGGCGGCUCUCUAGUACGGUACUGACGCUGAGACGCGAAAGCGUGGGGAGCGAACAGG
rnacentral:rRNA from 1 species